AGAGUUUGAUCCUGGCUCAGGAUGAAUGUUGGCGGCGUGCCUGAGAUAUGCAAGUCGAACGUCCCGUUGCAAGACGGGAGUGGCGGACGGCUGAGUAACACGUAGGAAUCUUCCCCAAAAUAAGGGAUAGCUCGUCGAAAGACGGGGUAAUCCUUUAUGGUCCCCAACGCAAGGCGGGGUAAAGUAGGUAACUCUACGUUUUGGGAUGAGCCUGCGGCUUAUCAGGUAGUUGGUAGGGUAACGGCCUACCAAGCCUAUAACGAGUAGCUGGUCUUAGAGGAUGGUCAGCCAGAGGGGGACUGAGACACGGCCCCCACUCCUACGGGAGGCAGCAAUCAGGAAUAGUCGGCAAUGGGCGAAAGCCUGACCGCGCGACGCCGCGUGUAGGAAUAAGCUCUAAUCGAGCGUAAACUACUGUGGUAAGGGAAGAAGUUCCGACUUCGUCGGGAUUGACGGUACCUUACUAGAAAGGGGCCGCUAACUGCGUGCCAGAAGCGUCGGUAAUACGUGGGCCCCAAACAUUAUCCGGUUUUACUGGGUGUAAAAAGUAGUGUAGGUGUUCUUUUAAGUUUUGUUUCAAAUUCUACGGCCUAACCGUAGACAGGGGCAAAAUACUGAAAGAAUUGAGUUUUCUUUAGGGAGAUUGGAACUCAGGGAGGAGUAGUGAAAUGCGUUGAUACCCUGGGGAACACCAGUGGCGAAGGCGAAUCUCUGAAAGAUAACUGACACUGAGACACGAAAGCUAGGGGAGCGAAGCAGAUUAGAGACCUGCGUAGUCCUAGCUGUAAACGUAUGCUUGCUAGCCGCACUUGUCCAGCACCAUUCUUAUUAAGAAUCAUUUUUUAGAUUAACAGGAAUGGUGCUGGAUAGAUGUAGCGAAGGUAACCCGUUAAGCAAGCCACCUGGGGAGUACGGCCGCAAGGUUGAAACUCAAAGGAAUUGGCGGGGAGGCACACAACCAGUGGAACAUGUGGUUCAAUUCGAAACAAACCGAAGAACCUCACCAGGGUUUGACAUGAAAGAGUUCUAUCCCACAGAAACGUGGGAGAUUCGCAAGAAGGCUUUCACAGGUGCUGCAUGGCUGUCGUCAGCUCGUUCCGUGAGGAGUGCCCUUAAGUGGGACAACGAGCGCAACCCUCGUUUUGUGUUAAAUCUAUCACAAGAUACUGCCCUGACUUUUUUGGUCGGGGAGGAAGGAGAGGCAGACGUCAAGUCAGCAUGGUCCUUAUACCCUGGGCUACACACAUGUUACAAUGGAAAGAACAACGAGUAUUGCCAGACGGCAACGUCGAGCAAAUCUCUUAAAUCUUUCCUCAGUGGGGAUUGAGGUCUGCAACUCGACCUCAUGAACGCGGAAUUGGUAGUAAUCGCAGAUCAGCUAUGCUGCGGUGAAUACGUUCUUGCCUCUUGCACACACCGCCCGUCAAGCCAACAAAGUCGGGGACACUUGAACCUCGUGAUUUUUCACGGGGGAGGGUAUCGCCGGCGAUGGGGGUUAAGUCGUAACAAGGUAACC
rnacentral:rRNA from 1 species